AGUAAAUAAGGUAAUAAUUUCUUAAUUAUAUAAUAUUUACUCAAAACUAUUCAAUUUUUAUUAUUGGCAAUAUAAAUUAAGGAAAAUAUAUAUAGACAAUCCUCAACUUAUAUAUAUGGAUUGUUCCAUAAAACCCUGCAUGUGUCAAAGCGUACCCUAUAUAGUAGGUCUUACCCUAUAUUGUAGGAUUUAUGCAGUUUCAGAAAUAUGCAGAUGUGCAAGUUCUCUUUUAUUUUUUGUUGAAUUUCCAUAAAAUGUGGAUGAAAACUUCAUUAAACAAUUUAGUUUUUUGCAAAAAUACCACUUAUGACUUUAAAUUUUCUUAUCUAGGCUUAAAAUAUGCUUAUAAAUUUCAGUUGAACAUUUCAUUCACUAAUGUGCCCAUUCAUAUAUAUGAACUUAAGCAUUCUUUGACUUACUGUUUUUGUUGUAUGUGGAAAAUUUCUAGACAAAUUUACUGCAUAAGUCUGGAACCUACUAUACAAUACUAGUUUGUCAUAAAGAUAUAACAAUAAAAAUAAUUGAUUGCUGCUGCAUGGUAAAGCAAUCUCUAUCUUGGAGAUCCAGGUUCAAUUCAAAGUACCACAUCUCAUUUCUCUGGAGAAGUCUAGACCCAGCUUAUGAACCCAAUCUUUCAACGUUCUGGAUGAUCCAAUCACCAUCGUUGGCCAGCCUGUGAUGUGGCUGCCACUAGAUACAUACAGUAUAUGUAUAUUCCAUGUGUGAUAUAGUUUUAAGUAAAAUCUAACCUAAAUAAUAAAUGCUGUUGUUUUGAUCAGUAGAUUUUUCUUGUAAGUCAAAGAAUUGCAAUGUAAGUAUGGAUUUAUAUACUGUAUGUCAGGGACUCUGUAUAUCAUACAUAUAAUUCAGAAAACUCGAUAUAUUUGGCAUACAUAAAAAAAUUCUAAAUAAUAUAUUAAGCUG
rnacentral:lncRNA from 1 species